rnacentral:tRNA from 1 species
GACCAUAUUUACCAAGUGGUUAAGUGCUUGGCUUCUAAACAUGGGGUCCCAGGUUCAAAUCCUGGUGAGGACU